UAGUCCACGCCGUAAACGAUGUCAACUAGGUGUUGGAGUGGUUAAUCGCUCCAUUGCCGGAGCUAACGCGAUAAGUUGACCGCCUGGGGAGUACGCUCGCAAGAUUGAAACUCAAAGGAAUUGACGGGGGCCCGCACAAGCGGAGGAACAUGUGGUUUAAUUCGAUGAUACGCGAGGAACCUUACCUGGACUUAAAUGUACGUUGCAUAGAUUGGAGACAGUCUUUUCUUCGGACUACGUACAAGGUGCUGCAUGGUUGUCGUCAGCUCGUGCCGUGAGGUGUCGGGUUAAGUCCCAUAACGAGCGCAACCCCUAUCCUUAGUUGCCAGCGGAUUAUGCCGGGGACUCUGAGGAGACUGCCACCGUAAGGUGUGAGGAAGGUGGGGAUGACGUCAAAUCAGCACGGCCCUUAUGUCCAGGGCUACACACGUGUUACAAUGGACGGUACAAAGGGCAGCUACCUGGCGACAGGAUGCUAAUCUCUAAAGCCGUUCUCAGUUCGGA
rnacentral:rRNA from 1 species